GGAUGUGGGAGAGAUCUAGUUGCAACAUCUGUCACCCCAAUAUCUUCAGGGUUGAUUCAGCUGCUCUGGCUAGCUAAGAAGGUGUCUCAUUUUCCCCUCACCUUUCCAUGUGAGCCCCUCUCUAACUGCAUGUGCAAGAGGAUCACCACCCCUGACAGAGGAGGACAGAGCAGGAUCGUCCCUUAGUCCAUGACAUGCCACUUGCUGCCCUCCACUGCCAGAACCUCCAAAUCGGUGCCCGACUUUCAGGGAAGUCAGUGUUCAGAUCAUUGUCAACCAGCUUUCUUUCUACGACUUCUGGGCGUUUAAAGCUUUUG
ensembl:misc_RNA 7SK 7SK RNA